UCUGCGCGGGAGAGUGAGGAGACUGAGGAAUCGAUGCUGAAGUACGACGAAAGAAGUUCAGACAUCAUUUUCAAACAGAUUUUUCUUCAUUUAAGUUAUGCCAAACAUCGUAGGUCUGACUCAACUGAACGACUAACUUUACGACUUUCACAUUUAGAAGAAGUCCAUGCAGUGCCGCUUCUGCAAGUUUUCAUCACCUCACCAAGACCUAAUUUUCAAGCACUACAGAACUUGCCAUUGGUCAGUUAAUGCAACUUCCUUUCCAUGUUUACACCUAGAAUGUGUUUGCAUUUUCAAGACAAUUGGAGCUUUAAAAACACA